rnacentral:rRNA from 1 species
ACGCUCGACACCUACGGAGGCAGCAGUGGGGAAUAUUGCACAAUGGGGGAAACCCUGAUGCAGCGACGCCGCGUGAGCGAAGAAGUAUUUCGGUAUGUAAAGCUCUAUCAGCAGGGAAGAAACUGACGGUACCUGACUAAGAAGCACCGGCUAAAUACGUGCCAGCAGCCGACGGUAAUCUGGAGGCGGGCGUGGACGAAGGC